rnacentral:lncRNA from 1 species
UGUAAAUCACCCAUUAAAUAAUCAUCCAUAUAAAAAAAACUUCAAAUACCUGAAAACUUAUCACUCAAUCUGUCUAACAACUAUAGUCACCAAAAUUAACGGGAAAUGACGUAGCAAAAAUCUUUUGCUUGGCUUGAGAGUCUUGUGAGACUUUUGAUUCAUCUCUCUUAAUCAUUCACUGUCUUUAUCUUUUAGGUUAUAAAUUAUUUUUUCUUACAUUAAAAAAAUAAAACUAAAGUGCACAACUAUAAGUCUAGCUAAGACUACUUACUUCCCCACUAAGUACGAGUGACUAUUUUAAAUUUUAAAUUUCUCAUGAUUCCAUUUUAAGAAUACUCAUAAUUCAAGACAUCAAACUUAGGCUUCAAGCAACUCCCAAAGCAGAGGAAACUAUUUUUUAAUUCCAUUUAUUUAUACUACAUUGUGAAGUGGAUAUGAAACAAGGCCCAUAAAUGUCCACUAGACUAAGUUUGACCCAUAUAGUAUAAAGGGUCACCUAUAUGGCCACACAAUUUAUAUAUGUAGUUUUUAGGUUUAGAAAGCUCAAUAGUUCAAGUGUACAACGUUUGGCAGUUACGAAUCUAGAAUAUCUGACUAUGUAUAUCAAAAACUCUGUAUAGUGAAGUCAGGAGUUUCAAUUCUUAUAAAGAUAUUUUCAACGAAACAUGGAAUUCAUCCUAGCCAUGGAUGAGAAUAGUCAAAAGAUGUUUUUUAGCGAACGUCUUCAAGAGAUUUAUCAGUGACGUUUUCGACACUAGUGAAUGUAAUUUUAAUAUCAAUGCAAGUAAAGAAAGAAAAAAUACAGUAAGUUACUAAUCUGGUUCAAGAGAUAUAUGUCUUGAAUCUCUGCCAACAUGUCUUUUUCUUAUAAGUGCUAAUAUAUAUGUUUCUUCGUCUUCUGAGACGAGCCUCAUCAUCUUAGAUUCAAGAGAUAUUCUUAGUGACGUCUUGAAUAAACUUUAGAAGAGCAACGUGCGAAGAUCCACCGUCCAUUAAAGCUACGUGACUCUUCUCGCUCAUCUCCUUCACUCUACUCCUCACGUCACUAUCCUGCUCCAUCAAACACCGGAUCCCUCUCUCUAUCUCCUCUGCCGUCAUCAACUCAUCAUCCGCCGCCAUGAAAUCUCCUCGGAAACUAUUUCGGACCUCCACCGCUAGCCCUAGCUCCUCAACCAUCUCGAACGCGUUAACUUGUUGCUCUGCGUAAAGCGGCCACGUAGCCAUCGGAACUCCGAACCAUAGACUCUCUAGCGUCGAGUUCCAUCCACAAUGCGACACGAACCCUCCGAUCGCAGGAUUUGCUAGAAUGGCGCUUUGUGGAGCCCAACCUACAAUCUUUCCUAUCUCUGCCGUCCGUUCCAAGAAUCCUUCCGGGAGAAUUUCCUCAAGAUUCGUAAAUUCUUCGGGAGGUCCUAUCGAUCCUUUUGGUUGAGCACGACGAAGAGACCAGACAAAGCGGUGACCACUUCGCUCAAGCGCGAUUGCGAUUUCUUUAGCUUGGCCCUCACGGAAACCUCCCAUGCUUCCGAAACAGAGGAAAACAACGGAUUUACGUGGCUGCUCGUCUAGCCACCGUAGGAUCUCCGAUUGCUUAUCGUCAGAUGAAUUUGGACCGUUGAUUUUAAGAUUCAUAACCGGUCCAACUGUGUACACCGUAGGCAGAGGACUAUCUACGCCGGAGAAAAACUUCAUAGCUUGAGGCUCAAGCUCAGCGAAUGUAUUUACCAAAAUACCUUUAGUUUCUCGGAAUCUUCUGGUUUGUCUAAACAUAACCGGUAACCACUCCUUGGUUAAUAGAACCGAGGGGAAACACUUAACCGGUAAAGGACGAGUCAAACAAGGAACUUCCAGCUCAGUAGUGUCCGAGUCCUUGAGGUCACUAACGUCAUAGUUCUUAACGUCGUAAAGGUAUUCAACAUGAACUUGCAAUCCAAGAAACGUUGCGUUGGAUGUGUAAAACAUGUAACUGGGAACACCAAACUCAUUAGCGACAUCAAUCAUCAUCAUGCAAAACAUAUCCACCACGAAUCCAGCAAGACGCGACGGCGAAUCUGGUGGACCCGGGUCAGUAAGUUUUUCCACCGUGGCUUUGACCUGCGGCUUGAAGUUAUCAAUGUAGUCGAAAAAAUGUGGUUUGGUGUCAUCGGAGUCUGGUUUAUCAGGGACGGAGAGAACGUUGUAGCUAAGACGUUCUUCAGAAUCAGAGGAGAGAGAAGCGAUGUAAGAAGAAGAGUUACUGCUACUAAAUCCAUGCAUCUGAGGGAUGAUGAUGAUGGUGAUGGAGAGAUGGUCGUCACGGUCAACAUGAAGCUUAGCUACCUCCACUAAUGGCCGGAGAUGUCCGUCACCAGGUGAUGGCCAUACAAUCUUGAUCUUCAGACUUCAACGUUAAUAUCAAGCAUGUGGUGGGAUGCAUAAUAGACAAGAGUCACAAGACACGACGCAGAACAAACAGACUCUCUUUUUGGUCCACAUAUAUAAUGACCUAUCCAAGAAACGUACUCCACUCUUCCACCUUCUCGGUUACUGAUGCGAAAGUAGCAAACAAAUAUUUCACAUUUUUCCAAAAAGUGUUUUUAAAAAGUCACCUAAUAUGAUAACUCAUAAAAUUUUCGUUUUGGUCCGUGAUUGAACCAAGCUAUAAGUCUAUUAUAACAUUCUCAAAAUGUAAAUUAGUAUUUCUAAGAAACCAUGAUGUAGUUGUUUUUUCUUUUUGUGGGGUGAUGUCAGCAUUGGACUUAAGGUGAGUUCAAGAUUUAGUAUGCAACUAAAGCACUUUCAAGUCGUGAACAGAAUCCUUCACUUCCCUAAAUUUUUAGAUAUUGGAACAACUUAUAGAUUCAUAAGACUAAAUCUUGUGUUGAAAUAUUGAAGUUCUAUCUCAA